rnacentral:rRNA from 1 species
UCAGUAGGCGGUGUGGCAAGUUGGGAGUGAAAUCUAUGGGCUCAACCCAUAGGCUGCUUCCAAAACUGCUGUGCUUGAGUGUGGGAGAGGCGCGUGGAAUUGCAGGUGUAGCGGUGAAAUGCGUAGAUAUCUGCAGGAACACCCGUGGCGAAAGCGGCGCGCUGGACCACAACUGACGCUGAAUGACGAAAGCUAGGGAGCAAACA